CUGCUGCUGAAUCUAGCAAGAAACAGCGAGUGCAGAUCAAAGCUAAACAAUGAAUGUGAAAUGACAACAACACCAGGACAGGCUCCAGGUGAUUGACAGUCUUUUAAGAAGCUUACUGGCUGACCAUAUAGAAUCUCUGGAAAUCUUACUAUAGCAGUAGUAAGUGGAUCUGAAUCAAGGAAACGAAUAGCAGAGUGCUUCAAGGAUGCACUAAGGGAGAUAGAUGAAGUACAAGAGAAUGGCUUUGUCAUGGUAGAUGAAGAAUGUAUUGUUAAGCAGUGUUUAUCAUGACGUAACCUACAAUGUUGCAUUCUGGGUAGUUGUUGGCCUCGUGGGCUGUGUGUUAUGAUCCGUCAUGUUGUACGUUGAUUAUUGAAGAGAAUAAAAGGAGAAAUACACCCAAAAUAACAUAAGUUUAACAUAUAUACCUGGUGAGGUGAUUACAGGGUGGAUAUUUACUGUUUAGUAUCACCCAAGUAGUGGACUAUUGCUCACCGUUCGUCAUCACUAAGUGCAUUUUUUACAUAACAGAUUUUUACUUUUUCCUGGAAAGCUCUAGAUAAUUGUUGGUUAGACACUUCAGAGAAUUUUUUUGGAGAAAAUGAAACAAAGAAUUUAACUUUCCUUGGAUAAAAAAAACUUUCAGUCCUUGUCCAUGACGAUCAGCUACUCUGUCCCAACCAA